GUGAAUCAUCGAAUCUUUGAACGCGAAUUGCACUCUCUUCGGAGAGUAUGCCUGUUUGAGGGUCAGCCUAAAAAAAAUCGACAUCGUUGCUGUUUCGCGGUGGCGUUCGUCGGAAAUUGGGUUAUCUUAAAUCUUUUUUUUUUUUGGUUUAAGCGACUUAAAAUUUUUCUUCACGAUUCCAUGGACUUUUCCAAGAUUUAUUUCUUUACACGUUUAAGGUAUCGAUUUUUUUAGGCGUGGUCGUCAUAUCGGAUCAUGUCCAUAAUUUUUCGUUAACUGACCUAA
rnacentral:misc_RNA from 1 species